GUUAGAUCGGCUCACAAAAUACUUUUUUUCGAAAUAGACGAAUCUUAAGUCUAUAGUGUAGAGACAUUGAGUGAGAGUACAGAUGAUUGUUGGAGAACAUCAGUACUGAGCAUGAUCAUACGAGAGAUCACAUGGAUGUUUACUCACUCGUCAGUGAUCUUCUCAAUACUGUAGUGGUGUGAGUAAUUUUUUAACCUGUGGUGCCUCGACUGCUCAAAAUGGGGUUGUUGUAAUUUGACUGCAUAUAAACAUGAUCUCCUAGCCAUUUGGAUCCUUGUAGUGUAUGUUGGCUAUAGUAGAUUCAAUGUAGGAGUAGGAUGUACACUUAUAAAAGAUCUAUCGAUCUUACUAAAUAAGGAGUAGUCCUAUAGAAUUUGAGAAACCAAAUCUAUAAAUCUAUGACUAUAGCAAGGUGAUUGAUAGAA
rnacentral:lncRNA from 1 species